rnacentral:rRNA from 1 species
UGAGGAAUAUUGGGCAAUGCCCGCAAGGGUGACCCAGCAACGCCGCGUGGAGGAUGAAUGUCGUAAGAUUGUAAACUCCUGUUAGAGGGGAAGAAUAGUACCGGUUGGACCGGUAUAUGACUGUACCCUCAGAGAAAGCCCCGGCUAACUUCGUGCCAGCAGCCGCGGUAAUACGAAGGGGGCUAGCGUUGUUCGGAAUUACUGGGCGUAAAGCGCACGUAGGCGGCUUUCCAAGUUGGAGGUGAAAUCCCCGGGCUUAACCCGGGAACUGCCUCCAAAACUGAAAGGCUAGAGUCCGAGAGAGGUGAGUGGAAUUUCCAGUGUAGAGGUGAAAUUCGUAGAUAUUGGAAAGAACACCAGUGGCGAAGGCGGCUCACUGGCUCGGUACUGACGCUGAGGUGCGACAGCGUGGGGAGCAAACAG